rnacentral:rRNA from 1 species
AUUGAACGCUGGCGGCAGGCCUAACACAUGCAAGUCGAACGGUAACAGGAAGAAGCUUGCUUCUUUGCUGACGAGUGGCGGACGGGUGUGUAAUGUCUGGGAAACUGCCUGAUGGAGGGGGAUAACUACUGGAAACGGUAGCUAAUACCGCAUAACGUCGCAAGACCAAAGAGGGGGACCUUCGGGCCUCUUGCCAUCGGAUGUUCCCAGAUGGGAUUAGCUAGUAGGUGGGGUAACGGCUCACCUAGGCGACGAUCCCUAGCUGGUCUGAGAGGAUGACCAGCCACACUGGAACUGAGACACGGUCCAGACUCCUACGGGAGGCAGCAGUGGGGAAUAUUGCACAAUGGGCGCAAGCCUGAUGCAGCCAUGCCGCGUGUAUGAAGAAGGCCUUCGGGUUGUAAAGUACUUUCAGCGGGGAGGAAGGGAGUAAAGUUAAUACCUUUGCUCAUUGACGUUACCCGCAGAAGAAGCACCGGCUAACUCCGUG